GAUGCGAAAGCGUGGGUAGCAAACAGGAUUAGAUACCCUGGUAGUCCACGCCGUAAACGCUGUCUACUUGGAGGUUGAGGUUUAAGACUUUGGCUUUCGACGCUAACGCAUUAAGUAGACCGCCUGGGGAGUACGGCCGCAAGGUUAAAACUCAAAUGAAUUGACGGGGGCCCGCACAAGCGGUGGAGCAUGUGGUUUAAUUCGAUGCAACGCGAAGAACCUUACCUACUCUUGACAUCCAGCGAAUCCUUUAGAGAUAGAGGAGUGCCUUCGGGAGCGCUGAGACAGGUGCUGCAUGGCUGUCGUCAGCUCGUGUUGUGAAAUGUUGGGUUAAGUCCCGCAACGAGCGCAACCCUUAUCCUUGUUUGCCAGCACGUAAAGGUGGGAACUCCAGGGAGACUGCCGGUGAUAAACCGGAGGAAGGUGGGGACGACGUCAAGUCAUCAUGGCCCUUACGAGUAGGGCUACACACGUGCUACAAUGGCAGAUACAGAGGGCAGCGAAGCUGCGAAGUGGAGCGAAUCCCUUAAAGUUUGUCGUAGUCCGGAUUGGAGUCUGCAACUCGACUCCAUGAAGUCGGAAUCGCUAGUAAUCGUGGAUCAGAAUGCCACGGUGAAUACGUUCCCGGGCCUUGUACACACCGCCCGUCACACCAUGGGAGUGGGCUGCACCAGAAGUAGAUAGCUUAACCUU
rnacentral:ncRNA from 1 species